GACAGAGGAUGCAAGCGUUAUCCGGAAUGAUUGGGCGUAAAGCGUCUGUAGGUGGCUUUUUAAGUCUGCCGUCAAAUCCCAGGGCUUAACCCUGGACAGGCGGUGGAAACUACCAAGCUGGAGUACGGUAGGGGCAGGGGGAAUUUCCGGUGGAGUGGUGAAAUGCGUAGAUAUCAGGAGGAACACCUGUGGUGUAGACGGCUCUCUGGACCGCAACUGACGCUGAGACACGAAAGCGUGGGUAGCAAACAGG
rnacentral:rRNA from 1 species